rnacentral:rRNA from 1 species
AUGCACGCUGGCGGCGUGCCUCAUACCUGCAAGUCGAGCGCACAGAUCAGGAGCUUGCUCCUUUGACGUUAGCGGCGGACGGGUGAGUAACACGUGGGUAACCUACCUAUAAGACUGGGAUAACUUCGGGAAACCGGAGCUAAUACCGGAUAACAUUUGGAACCGCAUGGUUCUAAAGUGAAAGAUGGUUUUGCUAUCACUUAUAGAUGGACCCGCGCCGUAUUAGCUAGUUGGUAAGGUAACGGCUUACCAAGGCAACGAUACGUAGCCGACCUGAGAGGGUGGUCGGCCACACUGGAACUGAGACACGGUCCAGACUCCUACGGGAGGCAGCAGUAGGGAAUCUUCCGCAAUGGGCGAAAGCCUGACGGAGCAACGCCGCGUGAGUGAUGAAGGGUUUCGGCUCGUAAAACUCUGUUAUUAGGGAAGAACAAACGUGUAAGUAACUGUGCACGUCUUGACGGUACCUAAUCAGAAAGCCACGGCUAACUACGUG